rnacentral:rRNA from 1 species
GACGAACGCUGGCGGCGUGCUUAACACAUGCAAGUCGAACGGAAAGGCCCGGCUUUUUUGUUCUGCUCGAGUUGCUGACGGAUGGGUAACAAGUGAGUAACCUACCCUUGACUUUGGGAUAACUUCAAGAAACUAGCGCUAGUACCUGAUAGGAACUCCUGCUGCAUGGUGUGGGUGGGAGAGGUUCGGCGGUUGGGGAUGGACUCGCGGCUUAGCAGCUGGUUGGUGGGGUUGUGGCGUACGAAGGCUUUGACGGGUAGCCGGACUGAGAGGGUGACAGGCCACAUUGGGACUGAGAUACGAGCAAGACGCAUACGGGAGGAAGGAGUGGGGAUCAUUGCACGCUGGGCGGAAGCAUGAUGGAGGAACGCCGCGUGGGGGAUGACGGCCUUCGGGUUGGAAACGGCUUUUGCCUGUGAGGAAGAGUGAGUGACGGUACUGGGUAAAGAAGCACCGGCUAACUACGUG